rnacentral:rRNA from 1 species
AGUGAACGCUGGCGGUAGGCCUAACACAUGCAAGUCGAACGGCAGCACAGGAGAGCUUGCUCUCUGGGUGGCGAGUGGCGGACGGGUGAGGAAUACAUCGGAAUCUGCCCAGUCGUGGGGGAUAACGUAGGGAAACUUACGCUAAUACCGCAUACGACCUUCGGGUGAAAGAGGGGGAUCGCAAGACCUCUCGCGAUUGGAUGAGCCGAUGUCGGAUUAGCUAGUUGGCGGGGUAAUGGCCCACCAAGGCGACGAUCCGUAGCUGGUCUGAGAGGAUGAUCAGCCACACUGGAACUGAGACACGGUCCAGACUCCUACGGGAGGCAGCAGUGGGGAAUAUUGGACAAUGGGCGCAAGCCUGAUCCAGCCGUACCGCGUGGGUGAAGAAGGCCUUCGGGUUGUAAAGCCCUUUUGUUGGGAAAGAAAUCUUUCAGGCUAAUACCCUGGGAGGAUGACGGUACCCAAAGAAUAAGCACCGGCUAACUUCGUG